rnacentral:rRNA from 1 species
UGGGGAAUUUUGGACAAUGGGCGAAAGCCUGAUCCAGCAAUGCCGCGUGUGUGAAGAAGGCCUUCGGGUUGUAAAGCACUUUUGUCCGGAAAGAAAUCCUUGGCUCUAAUACAGUCGGGGGAUGACGGUACCGGAAGAAUAAGCACCGGCUAACUACGUGCCAGCAGCCGCGGUAAUACGUAGGGUGCAAGCGUUAAUCGGAAUUACUGGGCGUAAAGCGUGCGCAGGCGGUUUGCUAAGACCGAUGUGAAAUCCCCGGGCUCAACCUGGGAACUGCAUUGGUGACUGGCAGGCUAGAGUAUGGCAGAGGGGGGUAGAAUUCCACGUGUAGCAGUGAAAUGCGUAGAGAUGUGGAGGAAUACCGAUGACGAAGGCAGCCCCCUGGGCCAAUACUGACGCUCAUGCACGAAAGCGUGGGGAGCAAACAGGAUUCAGAUACCCUGGUAGUCCACGCCCUAAACGAUGUCAACUAGUUGUUGGGGGAUUCAUUUCCUUAGUAACGUAGCUAACGCGUGAAGUUGACCGCCUGGGGAGUACGGUCGCAAGAUUAAAACUUAAAGGAAUUGACGGGGUCAUAGCUGUUUCCU